AUGCAGGAAAAGAAUACAGACUUAGAAAUAGACAGUUGUGGAUAUUUCUCUAAGGGUCCCCUUUCAGUGCGUGGGCAGUUAACAUUCUAAGGAGCUUCUGUUCUUUGUGUAGCACCUGCUUUCCUAUUGCCUUCUAAAAACUAUGUCCACACAUAUGAGACUAAAACUUUCCUCUCUUGGGUGUCUCCUAUGUGGACUGGAGGGACACUUCAAUUAGAAAAGCUUUGGUGUCUGCACAGUCCCACACGAGCCAAGCCCGGCUUGCAGGGUCAAGCUGUCUUUUCAUAG
ensembl:lincRNA